GCUCAUGACUCAGGAUGAACGCUAGCUACAGGCUUAACACAUGCAAGUCGAGGGGCAGCAUGGUCUUAGCUUGCUAAGGCCGAUGGCGACCGGCGCACGGGUGAGUAACACGUAUCCAACCUGCCGUCUACUCUUGGACAGCCUUCUGAAAGGAAGAUUAAUACAAGAUGGCAUCAUGAGUCCGCAUGUUCACAUGAUUAAAGGUAUUCCGGUAGACGAUGGGGA
rnacentral:rRNA from 1 species